UUUCAUGAGAGUUUGAUCCUGGCUCAGGACGAACGCUGGCGGCGUGCCUAAUACAUGCAAGUCGAACGAACC
rnacentral:rRNA from 1 species